GGCUUCGUAGUUCAAUGGAUUUAGAACACAGGUCUUCUAAACCUGAAGUUGCGAGUUCGAGUCUCGCCGAAGCCUCCA
rnacentral:tRNA from 1 species